rnacentral:lncRNA from 1 species
UUUCCUUGGUGUCUGUCUCUCCUAUUUCCACCCAUCUCUGCUGGAGACCCCUAUCUCAAUUUUUAAAAAAAUCACCCAUCAAGAAACAAAGCUCCGUGCGUGGCACUCUGUGCAGAGAGAUCUGCACAAAGGAAGAGUCCGAUGGCCGCCUCCCAGCCUGCUUCCUGGAUUCACAGUCUUUGCAGAUGAAACAAGUCAAGAUGAAGGCAGACCGGAUUAGGGUGGGCCCUAAAUCCAAUGACCGGUGUCUUUAUGUAAACGAAGAGGGAGAUGUGGAUACAGAGUCGCAGAGGAGACACAGGGAGGAUCCCUGUCACAAUGAAGGCAGAGAUUAGAGUGACGCUGUUUACAAACCAAGGACACCAA